rnacentral:rRNA from 1 species
UACGUAUGUCGCAGGCGUUAUCCGGAUUUAUUGGGCGUAAAGCGCGUCUAGGCGGUUUGGUAAGUCUGAUGUGAAAAUGCGGGGCUCAACCCCGUAUUGCGUUGGAAACUGCUAAACUAGAGUACUGGAGAGGUGGGCGGAACUACAAGUGUAGAGGUGAAAUUCGUAGAUAUUUGUAGGAAUGCCGAUGGAGAAGUCAGCCCACUGGACAGAUACUGACGCUGAAGCGCAAAAGCGUGGGUAGCAAACAGG